AUGCCAAACCCCCACACUAUUGCUGAUGCCAAGAAGCGCUUGCUGACAGGAGCCUGCUAUGACUGUUCCCGGAGAGACUGUACCAGCACCUGACCAAUACAGAUGCAGCACUCACAAUAGCCAAGCGAUGCAUCCAAACUAGGAGUCUAUCACUGCGAGAAGACAAAUGGGGCCCAUGUACACAGCGGGAUCUUUUUCAGCCAUAAAGAAAAACGAAAUCAUGGCACUCGCAGGAAAAUCGAUGGAACUGGAGACCAUUAUGUGACAUGAACUCCUAGUGGAUCCAUUUUUCAGGGAAGAAAAUAUAAAGUUCACAGUGGUGAGGCUACUUUCCCCGAGUGAGCCAGCUGGUGAAGGGGGACCUUUGGUCCUUACCUUUCAGUUCCUCAAGCCUGAUGAGUUCUUACAAGCAGGCAAAAUGUGCACUUCUCUGUCCCACCCCCACAAUUUCUGCCACGCUAUUUUUAGACGAUCGAUUAUUGUGUCUUAGAAUAAAGUUCAACCUCAGCUUCCUGUGCCCUUAGAGGAAGUCUCCUCCAA
rnacentral:sRNA from 1 species